rnacentral:rRNA from 1 species
GACGAACGCUGGCGGCGUGCUUAACACAUGCAAGUCGAACGGUGAACCUCUUCGGAGGGGAUCAGUGGCGAACGGGUGAGUAACACGUGGGCAACCUGCCCCCGGCUCUGGGAUAACUCCAAGAAAUUGGGGCUAAUACCGGAUGUUCACCGCUUCCCGCAUGGGUGGCGGUGGAAAGGGUUUCCGGCUGGGGAUGGGCCCGCGGCCUAUCAGCUUGUUGGUGGGGUAGUGGCCUACCAAGGCGACGACGGGUAGCCGGCCUGAGAGGGUGACCGGCCACACGGGGACAGGGACACGGCCCGGACUCCUACGGGGGGCAGCAGUGGGGAAUAUUGCGCAAUGGACGGAAGCCUGACGCAGCGACGCCGCGUGGGGGAUGACGGCCUUCGGGUUGUAAACCUCUUUCAGCAGGGACGAAGCGCAAGUGACGGUACCUGCAGAAGGAGCACCGGCCAGCUACGUG